rnacentral:lncRNA from 1 species
UAAAACUCAAGCCAUGAUUCUAAAUCGACAUAUUUACAUUUUACAAACUAAAUAAAGUUUUAUAAUAUAUUUCUAAAAUUUUACAUUACUCUACCUGGUUCUUUAUACUAUAAAUUACUAAAACAGGUUCUUAAAAACUCCGGAGUUCAUCCUAGAAUGGAGUUUCAGUUCAUUGAGUUACCCUUAGGCUUAAGUUCCAACCUAGAUCCAGAAAUUCCUGCGUCAAAUAGUUUUGGUCAGCUCCCACUUCGCAAAGAACCCAGUUUUCAUUUGAUGGUAACCAAUUAGCUUUCUCACGAUAACGAAUAUCCACCAUGUUUGGGUGGCAUCCAAUUCUCGUUAACCAACGCAGACAAUUGAAACAAUGUGAAAAGCAAUUUUUCAAAAUAAAACUAACCAUUUACAAAGCAAAUUUACCAUCAUUUGUCCAAAAAAUUAUAACAAGUCGCUGUUAUGUGGACUUAUCUCUCAGACGUCGGCUGAAAUGCCACCCAAAAAUGGCGGCGUGAGAAAAUCAUAGUCAGUCUAUCUUGUCUUUUGUAUGUGUUUUUGCCACUUCAAGGAUUGCAGAGAUGAUUAUAUCAACACUCUAGCAUUACAUGUCCUAACCGGAUUUGUUAUUUAGCUAACACCAAACGUGAUUGGCUCAUUUGUGGUCACGUGGUUUUAGAUAAAUGCAAUGUAUCCCGCCGGGCCGACAAAUGAAAAUUUAGUUCUUUUAAAUUUUAAACUCGUUUACAUUAUGGAGUUUUUGUCAUGAAAUACAAUUGUUGUAUGAAUGUUGUUUUUUCUUUCGUCGCUAUGUGACAAAACACUCGACUUUGUCUCGGGAAACAUUAACACACUCGGGAAACAUUAACGCUCUCGGGAAAACAGAAGUAUUUCCCUCGGGAGCAGAAUUUAUGUGUAGAAUAUCAAGCAUUGAAUAAGCGAAUAACAUAGAACUAUAAUGGGGCUUCUCUAUACAACAAACCUCAGAUGAUUCUUACGUUGGCUUCAACAUUUUCUUAUUCUUAGUGAAAUUUCUUGCCUCAGUCAGUAAUUCACCAACAUCAUCAUCAUCGCCAUCUUCAUUGUCAUCAUCAUCAUCACCGGAUGGUCGCCAGUCGCUUUCAUCUGAUGCUUCAUGGUUGCUCUCACUUUCAUCAUCAAUAAAACUAUCUUCGAAGUCGUAAUCAUUAGGACCAUCUUCGUCAUCAUCUCGGAUUUUUCCGGUGCC